GUCCUUCAGGCAGUAUCAGGAGGGGGGGGGGGAUGUCCCCGUGUCUCUUGUAAGAUACGCAAGGAACCUCCAGGGCAGAGCGAGAGGUAGCAAGAUAAGGAAGUGAUGGGUUUUUAGCAUGUAUU